UAUGGUACGUUCGUUUGAGGGCUAGUUCCGCACUGAGUGCCGCACUCAGAGCUGUCAAAGUGUUUGUUUGAAGAAACUAGCGCUGGUGCCGCACGAGUUUCGCCUCCAUCUUGGAACUGAAAGUGCGAGUGCCGCACUCGAUUUUUUUCUAGUUUCGUGCGAGUUUCUCGCACACCAACAAACGAUGUUUGUAAACAUCGAAAUCAGCUGUUCGUUCAAAACAUGAUACGAGAAGCUGAUUUUGUUGUUGUUUUCGAUUUGUUCGCGUGUGAAUGGUGAAAAAUUGGACAAAUUGGAUUGCGGUUAUCAAAAUUCCGCUAUCACGACGACUGGACUUUUCGCUGGGGCACUUUUCGACCAAUUCUCAUUCAAGGACCCGAAGAAGCCCAAGGCGGAGGAGGGCGAGGGUAUCGGGCAGGUGCCGAUGCGGAAGAUUAUCGUGGUGGUGCAGCGGAUGGGCGAGUACGUACCAAGCGUACCAAGCGGAUCGCACGGGCUGUUGGAGCACACUCUCACCAUAGAUCACUGCACCGGAGACAAGUGGUACAUGUUUAGGCGAGUCCCAUUUUUUUACUUCGCUAGUAGGAUGUUUGAAGUUUCUUUCGACAUUCCAGAUUCUUCGAAAAAAAAAACGCCGAGGCCAAGAACCAGGUGGCCGAAAAGAAGGCUGCCGCCCGUGGUCAGGAUGACGUUUACGACGAAGUCCCUGGACGAUGACGAGUUUGAUUUGUACCUGGAUCGGAGGUAUGAAUGAUCGCGAUAUCCUCCGCAACUUGCAGCGCAAGCUCAAAUCGGUCCUUCAACCGUCGCAAGCAGUACCCUUUGGAACUGGUGCUGACACCGAUUCGUGAGUUGGACAAGCAAAUCUUCAAAUAGUCAAAGAAACGUCUUGUAUUCCCUUUCCCGUGCUGGACGAGGCAGACCGUAGCUGGACUUGGGAUUCAAGGGCCACCAGAAGAGUUGAAUCGAGUGCUAAUAAUAAAAUUGUGAAAUAAUUUGCUUUAAAAUAUAUACUUCAGCGUAAAAUGACUUGCUUUUAUUUAUUCUUAACUGAAAUUAAAUUUCACUAUUUAAAACCCUUUAAGUACCACGUGGAAAUUUAAUAUUCAAAAAAUCAUAUCUUGGCUCAAACACAACCAAUUUUCGAUGUUUUGGGCUUGUUCGCUCAGGAUUUUAAUACGGAACACGAUGCAAUCGGAAAAAAUCCGGAUUCCGGUUCCCUGGCCGGAGAUAUUCCGGAUUUCCCAGGGCCAGAUUGGGGCUACGCUAGCCGAGUCAUUUUUCUGAUUACAAAAACCAUCCAAAAAAGAUGAAUACGAGUGAAAUACUAUGGAAUUUUAUCAUCUGCAAUCAAACGAAGGCCAUUUUAUUGAACUAGAACCAUGUUGGACACGGGAAACCCGGUCAGUAACCUGGGACCGGUUCCAGGGUCCCGGCGAGGGUCCCGGUCAUAAUCCGAAGAUAUGACCAGUACACUUUUCUUGUCCAAAGUGGACAUGUCUAUGUUCAUGAAAUUGUGUAACAAGUUCGGAAAAACUAAUGCAAUACCAAUCGGACCGACUGUGGCCACCCGGAACCGGUUCCAGGUUCCCGGCCAUAAUCCGAAUAUAUGGCCAAUACACUUUUCUUGUCCAAAGUGGGCAUGCGACAUGUCUAUGUUCAUGAAAUUGUAUCACAAGUUCAAAAAGACUAACCCAUUGCCAAUCGAACCGACUGUGGCCACCCGGAACCGGUUCCAGGGUCCCGGCCAUAAUCCGAAUAUAUGGCCAAUACACUUUUCUUGUCCAAAGUGGGCAUGCGUCAUGGCUACGUUCAUGAAAUUGUAUCACAAGUUCAAAAAGACUAACCCAUUGCCAAUCGGACCGACUGUGGCCACCCGUAACCGGUUCCAGGUUCCCGGCCAUAAUCCGAAUAUAUGGCCAAUACACUUUUCUUGUCCAAAGUGGGCAUGUGACAUGUCUAUGUUCAUGAAAUUGUGUAACAAGUUCAAAAAGACUAAACCAUUGCCAAUCGGACCGACAGUGGCCACCCGGAAUCGUUUUUUUCUGAAAAUGUUCAUGACAUUGCAUCACAAGAUAAAAUAUGCGUUCAUGAAAUUUUGAAACAAGUUCAAAUUAGCUAUAACUUUCAGCAAUAAAUAAAAUUAUAAAACUAUAAAAUUA